AGCGAACGCUGGCGGCAGGCCUAACACAUGCAAGUCGAACGGAUCCUUCGGGAUUAGUGGCGGACGGGUGAGUAACACGUGGGAACGUGCCCUUUGGUUCGGAACAACUCAGGGAAACUUGAGCUAAUACCGGAUGUGCCCUUCGGGGGAAAGAUUUAUCGCCAUUGGAGCGGCCCGCGCCUGAUUAGCUAGUUGGUGAGGUAAAGGCUCAUCAAGGCGACGAUCAGUAGCUGGUCUGAGAGGAUGAUCCGCCACAUUGGGACUGAGACACGGCCCAAACUCCUACGGGAGGCAGCAGUGGGGAAUCUUGCGCAAUGGGCGAAAGCCUGACGCAGCCAUGCCGCGUGAAUGAUGAAGGUCUUAGGAUUGUAAAAUUCUUUCACCGGGGACGAUAAUGACGGUACCCGGAGAAGAAGCCCCGGCUAACUUCGUGCCAGCCGCCGCCGUAAAAC
rnacentral:rRNA from 1 species